GAUGAAGAACGCAGCGAAAUGCGAUACUUGGUGUGAAUUGCAGAAUCCCGUGAACCAUCGAGUCUUUGAACGCAAGUUGCGCCCGAAGCCAUUAGGCCGAGGGCACGCCUGCCUGGGCGUCACACGUCGUUGCCCCCCCAUCUACUCCUUCGGGAUUGCGGGGGGCGGAUGAUGGCCUCUCGUGCGCCUCGUCGCGCGGUUGGCCUAAAUGCCAAGUCCUCGGCGACGCACGCCACGACAAUCGGUGGUUGCGAAACCUCGGUUGCCUGUCGUGUGCGGUCGUCGCGCAUCGAGGGCUCGAAAAAAUUGCCGGGCUUCGGCUCGACUUUCAACGCGACCCCAGGUCAGGCGGGGUUACCCGCUGAAUUUAAGUAUAUCAAUAAGCGGAGGA
rnacentral:misc_RNA from 1 species